rnacentral:misc_RNA from 1 species
AAGUCGUAACAAGGUUUCCGUAGGUGAACCUGCGGAAGGAUCAUUACCAUAAACACAAAAGUGUAGUGGAUUUAAUGGGCAUAUGUCGUUACGUAUGAUAAUGUCGAUAAGACAUUGUAAUAAGUGUAUGACGUCCAUUUAUUAUUAGGUGUAGUUCCUCCUAGUCCUAGACUAGUGACUGCAACUAAUAACUAGAACCAUACUAGUUUAUUUCAACACAAAUUGAUAUACAACUUUUAACAAUGGAUCUCUAGGCUCUU